UAGAAUAAAAACAAUAAUGGAUUGAAAUAGUAAAGGAAAAAAAGGGCUUAACCUCAUUACUCUCAGAAUCUCACAACACUCCAUUACUCUAUCGAUUCAUCUCUAAAUCAAUCUUAUUGAAUCACAAUCCCCUCAUCAUUAAUUUCUUAUCCUACAAACUAUAAUUUUAGAAAGAGGAAGAAGUUGCAGCAAUUGAGAAGUGAAGAUUCAGAGACUUACACUUUGGUGUCUCUGAUAUUUUUUUUGUUCUAUUCGCUUCUAGAUUCGUUGAACAUGCUGCUUCCUAGAGAAGCGGCUCAAAAAGAGGAAAAGGGCAAAGAGGCAGAGCAAGAGGAAGAAGGUUGGAGAAGAGAAAAGCUUGAAGCUUAAAGAUUCGCCGGAUUAACUCAGGUAACGAGCAGUGAUUGAGUAGGAGCUAGUGCUUGGAGUCUAGUGUAGUUCCUUAGUGGGUCAUGCUCUGGUAGAUGUAACAUCGGGAUGGGAUGUUUUAAAUGUUUAUUGUUGGUUGUGAACCAGUUUACAUGUAAUAUGCUACAUGUUUUGAAUGAUCUCUAUCCGCUGCGUAUUGUGCGAUGCUUUAUGUUUUGAAUUAAAUAAUGAGCAUGACUAAAUAUUAUGGUGAA